UAUAUAUAUAUAUAUAUAUAUAUAUAUAUAUGUGUGUGUGUACAUUUAAUACAUAUAUUAUCCUUCAUUCCUCUAACGGUCUCCGUAGAGGUAAGACAGAAUUUUCCUAUGUCCACCGCCCGCAAACAUCUCUGCCUGUAAACAUUCAGUGAAGCUCUACAUAGCGCCGAUAGCUUACCGGCUGCUAUUUCUAGCAAUGAUCAUACUUUGUGUACAUCCGCUUUGUAUAUUUAUAAUUCUACCUUUUAUGAUGCUUUAGUCUUGCUGGAUAGUAUUUUUAUUUUAUAAUAAUAUUUAUA